rnacentral:misc_RNA from 1 species
GAAAUGCGAUAAUUAAUGUGAAUUCCAGAAUUCAGUGAAUCAUCGAGUCUUUGAACGCACAUUGCGCCCCCUGGUAUUCCGGGGGGCAUGCCUGUCCGAGCGUCAUUGCUGCCCUCAAGCACGGCUUGUGUGUUGGGCUUCCGUCCCUGGCAACGGGGACGGGCCCAAAAGGCAGUGGCGGCACCAUGUCUGGUCCUCGAGCGUAUGGGGCUUUGUCACCCGCUCCCGUAGGUCCAGCUGGCAGCUAGCCUCGCAACCAAUCUUUUUAACCAGGUUGACCUCGGAUCAGGUAGGGAUACCCGCUGAACUUAAGC